rnacentral:lncRNA from 1 species
CUCCCAAACAACACUGAACCAGUCCUAACAAUGAUACCAGGGCCCGCUUCCCCCUAUAACAACACUGAUACANUUCCCCCAAUAACAACACUGAUACAGGACCAGCUUCCCCCAAUAACAACACUGAUACAGGGCCAGCUUCCCCCAAUAACAACACUGAUACAGGGCCAGCUUCCCCCAAUAACAACACUGAUACAGGGCCAGCUUCCUCCAAUAACAACACUGAUACAGGGCCAGCUUCUACAUUACUUGAAUUUAACCAUCAUCAUCACAUAGAUAGAUUUUUUUCAAAGUGUUGUACCUUGAGCUAUUUAUUCAGCUAGAGAGGAUUGUGAAUAUAUUGGAAAUGACAAUAGAAAUAAUAUAAUAAUAAUAAUGAAUUCUAAUUCCAACCCGAAUAUGAGGAAACAGACAGAACGGUCCUUUUGCCUUGUGAACAGAAGAAUAAUGUCAAUGAAAACAAGCUUAACCUUUUUCUAGUACACUGGGGAUCGGAUAAAACGUUUAUUUUUUAUUUUUUAAACGUUUUAAACGUUUCUGAAGAAGGAUUUGCACGUGGAACAUGAUGUAGUGCCUCUGUUUCCAUUAUGCUUUGAGGAACAUUUCUCAUUCUGCUCUAUUGCUGUUCUCUGUUCAUCCACCCGUCAGAGCAUCGUUGCUCUGUCCAAAAUAGCACCCCCUAUUCCCCUAUAAAGCUCAUUACUUUUGACCAGAGCGCUAUAGGAGCACUAUGGGCCCUGAUAUAAAAAAAAUAAUAAUGAGUGCACUACAUAGGGAAUAGGGUGCCAUUUGGGAUUUCUCCAUCGUCAGGCAGUUUGUCCAGCUAAUCAUCACCUGGUCCUUUUGCCCAGCCGACUAUUAUAUACGUCAUGUCUGUUUGGAGAUGAAUAUGAGUGUAUGAACUUGAGUGGUAUCAUUCACUUUAAUCCAGUGACAAAGAGUUGGCAUAUGCCAUUUCUAAACAUAUUAUCUCUACGGUAUAAAGAUCAUCAGAGGUCUGUACCAAUGGGUCAGAGGUCUGUACCAAUGGGUCAGAGGCCUAGGCCUGUACCAAUGGGUCAGAGGUCUGUACCAAUGGGUCAGAGGCCUGUACCAAUGGGUCAGAGGUCUGUACCAAUGGGUCAGAGGUCUGUACCAAUGGGUCUUGUUCGAUUGAUUCAAUCAGGAAAAACCAAAUAGUCACUGAAAUCUCACAUACAGUCAUGUAGAAUGUAAAUUAUUAUUAUAUUAAGCUUUUAAUAUUUGAUUUGAUUGCAGUGAGUGGCCGUAUGUUUCUGGUUUUGGUUGUCUCUUUCCCAGUUUACAAUAUUAGGGCAUUACACUUUAUAGAACAUUCUAGACCCUUUACCCCAGAGGAGAUGCUUGGCCUGUUCUAUGUAGACAUGUAGACAGGACAUAAUGUAGACUGGGGGUGCUUCCCAAAUGGCUUCCUGUUUCCUAUAUAGCACACUGCUCUUGACCAGAGCCAUUUGGCGCUGUCUGUCACUCCUAUUUCACUGUCUGUCACUCCUAUUUCACUGUCUGUCACUCCUAUUUCCCUGUCUGUCCACAAACAUCUACUUUACCAUCACCCUGACACUAUCCUAUCCCAACAUCUACUGUACCAUCACCCUGACACUAUCGUAUCCCAACAGCCUUCACAAAGCAGCUUUUAGAUUUAUUACCUAUUGUCUUAAUUAAUUUAAGCUUUUAUAUGUAGUGACUGAUGACAGUCUUGUCAAACUGCACCCAUUAAAGCAAUUUUUAAACUAUUUUAUUUUUCUUUGAGUUAUUUAGCAUUGUGUAUAUAAACAAACAUGUCUGCUGUGAACAGUGUAUUAUGCAGCUCUAUUUAAACACCAUCUUAAAAUGGGUAGUAGUUCAAUCAAUGUCUCUAUUUGAGUGUCGGAGUUGUUAAGCGUCAAAAUGAAAAAGGUUUGUGUACACUAAAACACAUUGUCGAAUGUUAAAUAAAUGUGGACCAUGAUGCAACACUACGAGUCAUGUUGUUUCCCUGUGUGCUGAAGUUUAUAGACCUACCC